rnacentral:rRNA from 1 species
GUCCCGCAACGAGCGCAACCCUCGUUCUAUGUUGCCAGCGCGUAAUGGCGGGAACUCAUAGGAGACUGCCGGGGUCAACUCGGAGGAAGGUGGGGAUGACGUCAAAUCAUCAUGCCCCUUAUGUCUUGGGCUUCACGCAUGCUACAAUGGCCGGUACAAAGGGCUGCAAUACCGUAAGGUGGAGCGAAUCCCAAAAAGCCGGUCUCAGUUCGGAUUGAGGUCUGCAACUCGACCUCAUGAAGUCGGAGUCGCUAGUAAUCGCAGAUCAGCAACGCUGCGGUGAAUACGUUCCCGGGCCUU